rnacentral:rRNA from 1 species
UACGGAGGGUGCAAGCGUUGUCCGGAAUCACUGGGCGUAAAGGGCGCGUAGGCGGCUCAUGAAGGCUGUGGUGAAAGUCCGGGGCUCAACCUCGGAUCGGCCGUGGCGACUCGUGGGCUGGAGCACUGUAGAGGCGGGUGGAAUUCCGGGUGUAGCGGUGGAAUGCGUAGAGAUCCGGAAGAACACCAGUGGCGAAGGCGGCCCGCUGGGCAGUGGCUGACGCUGAAGCGCGACAGCGUGGGGAGCGAACAGG